rfam:Pseudomonadales bacterium RIFCSPHIGHO2_02_FTLL_60_43 rifcsphigho2_02_scaffold_104, whole genome shotgun sequence.
AUCAACUGAAGCGCAGGACGCGCUCAGGAUCAUGGAUGAUUGACCAUGGCCUCGGAGGCUACCGACAGGAUGUCGGAAUGGUCUUGAAAAAACCCGCUUCGGCGGGUUUUUU